CCAUCCUCCUCAUUCCGCCGCCACCACUCCUCUUGUCUCCCCUUCCUUGGGAUCCCCUCCUGAUCCAAAAAUCCUCCCACUCCCGUUUUCCCCAGCGAGCCAACCACCACAGCCCCGCCUGACCAACCCCUCGUCCCCGUUCGCCGUCCUCCUCGUGCCCGAUCUGGACGCCCGCAGCUCCCGUGCGCUCCCCUGCCCGAGCCGCCUCCACGCCGACCCCAUCGCCCUCCUCCCGUGCUUCCGUGUGCUGCCGCAAGCAGCAGUACCAGGGACCGAAAGGAGCCAGCCUUGGCCUCGACCAGCGCCACCGCAGAAGCUCGCCACCUGCCCCGCUCGCCUGGUUCCCCUCACUCCUCGCUCCGCCUGACUCCGCCUCCGAGCACGCUGCCCCACCGUCCGCGCUCGCAGGCGACAAGCGCCGCCCUUCACCGGAGAUCUUCAUCAGGCCAGGUCGCGGCCUCCCCUGCCCGCGAACUCCUUCUUCAUCCUUCCGCCGGCUCUCUCUGCCGCUCACGCUUCCCUCUCUCUCCCUUGUAGGAUCCCCGUUGGAGGAUCUCCACUCCGUGGCUGACGGCCUCCUCUCAAGCCCGGCGCCGCUGUGACGGAUCCCCUCGCCGAGCUCCGUCAAGUCCGCCGCCCGCUGCGUCUUCCCGGUGAACCUCGGUCGACCCCUGCAUCGCCUGGAGUCGCCGCGGCCAAGUCCCUCGAUCCUCGACUGGAGCCCAUCUCCUUGUUGUUCCUGGCGCCGUCGCGCACCUACUUCCGCUGCUUCGAGGACGAGAACGACCAGCGACCAGCGCCCGAGUCGACUCCCCUGCAUCGCUUGUUGCCGCGCCAAGACCCGCUGCCGCCUCGCCGUUGACUUUCAGCGGCACGUUCUGUCUCUGUCGAGCAGAGGACGAAGGAGCGGUUCCUCGUUAUCGUGUUGACCGAGGCCCAGUCGUUCCCCAGGCCGGCCCUUCUUCCUCAAUCGGGCCAAGGCCCAUGGUGAGGCAGACCCCUAGUCCCUCUCUUUUUUUUCCUUCCUUUGGCCCAGCUAGUUUCAGCCCGUGUAUUUUUUUUCCAGCGCUGGGGGUUUUGCUAAUUAAUCAGGGACUGUAGGUUUUGCAGAAAACCCCCUGCUGUUCAUGCAUAUAAUAACUUUCAAACCGUGCAUCGGAUUAAAAUACUUUAUAUAUGUAAAAUGCUUAGAAUUUUGUGUAUAUUAUUAAUUUGCAACUUUCAUCUAUGUUUAAAAUGUUUAAAAUUGUUGUUUGCAUUAAUUUGCUCCUAUGCCAUGUUAAAAUGAUUUAAUUCAUAACUAAAUAACCGUAACUCCGAUUUUAGCAAAAUUUAUAUGUAAUUGGGGUAGAAAAAUGCCUAGUUUAACAUGGUGGCUUCAUUUUGCAUGUUUAACAACUCUAAAAUUAUGUUUAGGGCAGAACAGUACCAAACCUAAAAUAUUCUCAUGAGGAUUUUUUUCCGGACUUGUUGCUUGUUGUUCCGGCCUCAUUUAAACUUGCCUAGAUUAGGUAGUUUCAUCUUGUGACACCUCUUGCCAUGCUAACAACAUUUAAUCUUGUUGGGUACAUAAACGAGAUCGAACUAAAUAAGUCACGUGGUGUUUCGUCAAUAUGCAACUUGUAGUAUUGCUUGUGCCUUUUGCCAUGUCAUUUAUCAUUAAACCGGACAUGCAUCAUACUUGGUUGUGCAUCAUGCCAUGUCUAUGUGUUGGUUGUUUACUAUGUUGUGUGUUUCUUUUCCCGUGUUUGCUUCUUCGGGUUGGUUCCGUUAACGUCGCAUUUGUGAGGAUCUGUUCGUCUACGUUCGUUUGUCUUCUUCAUGGACUCAUUCUUCUUCCUUGCGGGAUCUCAGGCAAGAUGAUCAUACCCUCGAAAUCACUUCUAUCUUUGCUUGCUAGAUGCUCGCUCUUUUGCUAUGUCUAUGCUGCGAUACCUACCACUUGCUUAUCAUGCCAUCCAUAUUGUUGAACCAAGCCUCUAACCCACCUUGUCCUAGCAAACCGUUGUUUGGCUAUGUUACCGCUUUGCUCAGCCCCUCUUAUAGCGUUGUUAGUUGCAGGUGAAGAUUGAAGUUUGUUCCUUGUUGGAACAUGGAGAUGUUGUUUCUUGUUGGAACAUGUUACUUGUUGGGAUAUCACAAUAUAUCUUAUUUAAUUAAUGCAUCUAUAUACUUGGUAAAGGGUGGAAGGCUCGGCCUUAUGCCUGGUGUUUUGUUCCACUCUUGCCGCCCUAGUUUCCAUCAUAUUGGUGUUAUGUUCCCGGAUUUUGCGUUCCUUAUGCGGUUGGGCUAUAAUGGGAACCCCUUGACAAUUCGCCUUGAGUAAAACUCCUCCAACAAUGCCCAACAUUGGUUUUACCAUUCGCCACCUAGCCUCUUUUUCCCUUGGGUUUCGCGGACUCAAGGGUCAUCAUUAUUUUACCCCCGGGGCCAGUGCUCCUCUGAGUGUUGGUCCAACCUGUCAGCUGCCGGUGACCACCAGGGGCAACUCUGGGCUGGCCUACCCGUACCUAGGACAAUCUGAGUGUGCCCUAAGAAAGAGAUAUGUGCAGCUCCUAUCGGGAUUUGUCGGCACAUUCGGGCGGUGUUGCUGGUUUAGUUUUACCCUGUCGAAAUGUCUUGUUGUACCGGGAUAUCGAGUCUGAUCGGAACGUCUCGGGAGGAGGUCUAUUCCUUCGUUGACCGUGAGAGCUUGUGAUGGGCUAAGUUGGGACUCCCCUGCAGGGAUUUGAACUUUCGAAAGCCAUGCCCGCGGUUAUGGGCAUAUGGGAAUUUGUUAAUGUCCGGUUGUAGAUAACUUGAACCUUAACUUAAUUAAAAUGAAUCAACUGUGUGCGUAACCGUGAUGGUCUCUUCUCGGUGGAGUCCGGGAAGUGAACACGGUGUUGGAGUUAUGCUUGACGUAGGUUUCUAUAGGAUCACUUCUUGAUCAUACUUUUAUCGACCGUGCUUUGCCUUCUCUUCUCGCUCUCAUUUGCGUAUGUUAGCCACCAUAUAUGCUAGUCGCUUGCUGCAGCUCCACCUCAUACCUUUACCUUACCCAUAAGCUUAAAUAGUCUUGAUCGCGAGGGUGCGAGAUUGCUGAGUCCCUGUGGCUCACAGAUACUUCCAAACCAGCUUGCAGGUGCCGAUGAGUCCGUGCAGAUGACGCAACCCAGCUCAGGAGGAGCUCGAUGAAGAUCUUGUCCUUUGUGUUGUUUCGUUCUAUGUGAUCAGUAGUGGAGCCCAGUUGGGGUCGAUCGGGGACCUUUGUCGCAUUUGGGGUUCUUUUUUUAUUUUGGUUCCGUAGUCGGAUCUUGUUUGUAUCUGGAUGAUGUAAUGCUUUAUUCAUGUAAUUGUGUGAAGUGGCGAUUGUAAGCCAACUAUGUAUCUCUUUCCCUUAUGUAUUACAUGGGUUGUGUGAAGAUUACCUCUCUUGCGACAUUGCUUUCAAUGCG
rnacentral:lncRNA from 1 species